rnacentral:rRNA from 1 species
UACGAAGGGGGCUAGCGUUGCUCGGAAUCACUGGGCGUAAAGCGCACGUAGGCGGACUCUUAAGUCGGUGGUGAAAUCCUGGAGCUCAACUCCAGAACUGCCUUCGAUACUGGGAGUCUCGAGUCCGGGAGAGGUGAGUGGAACUGCGAGUGGUAAGAGGUGAAAUUCGUAGAUAAUCGCAAGAACACCAGUGGCGAAGGCGGCUCCACUGGCC